GGGGGGGGGGGGGGGGGGGGGGAGCGCGGGGGGGUCGGGGGGGGGGGCCCGGUUGGGGGUCCUCGAGGGGCGGACGGGGGCGUAACAGGGGGGUACCCUGCCCUUGCCGUCGGGGUAACUUCGGGAAACUGGGGCUACUACCGGAUAGGAAUCCUUGCUGCAUGGUGGGGGUUGGAAGGCUUCGGCGGUUUUGGAUGGACUCGCGGCUUAUCCGCUUGUUGGUGGGGUCGUGGCUUACCCAGGCUUUGACGGGCAGCCGGCCUGAGAGGGCGACAGGCCACAUUGGGACUGAGAUACGGCCCAGACGCCGACGGGAGGAAGCAGUGGGGAAUAUUGCACAAGGGGCGGAAGCCUGAUGCAGCAACGCCGCGUGCGGGAUGACGGCCUUCGGGUUGUAAACCGCUUUCAGCAGGGGCGAAGCUUGUGGUGACGGUACCUGCAGAAGAAGCACCGGCUAACUACGUG
rnacentral:rRNA from 1 species